UGGCACUAGGCAACAUCCAACACAUUUUUAAUGCAGACCCGAACACAUCACAAAAAUGUACAAUGGAAAGGCUUUAUGUUGAAUCUGUUUAGAUAUUAACCUCUGAGCAGCAGCAUUAGUGUUGGAACCCCAAUUCAGGUAAUCCACCUCCCUAUGUGCACCACAAGCGAGGAAGCGUAUGACAUGCAUGUUCAAGUACAAUAAUCCAAUGUGAGGAUGUAUGCUGUACAUGCAUACAUACAGACAAAUGCACCCAGCCAUGACCCACCCAGCCCUCACCUGCCAUCACCACUGCCACCCAGCCCAUUGCCUCCAUCUUCUCUUCCACCCAGCCCUCACCCACCAUCACCACUGCCACCAAGACCUAUCCCCUUGCUGUCUGCUGCCCCCUGUCCUACCCUGCACAGGUACCACUGCCGGUCCCCGGCCAUGGU
rnacentral:lncRNA from 1 species